rnacentral:rRNA from 1 species
AACGAACGCUGGCGGCAUGCCUAACACAUGCAAGUCGAACGAGACCUUCGGGUCUAGUGGCGCACGGGUGCGUAACGCGUGGGAACCUGCCCUUAGGUUCGGAAUAACUCCCCGAAAGGGGUGCUAAUACCGGAUAAUGUCUUCGGACCAAAGAUUUAUCGCCUUUGGAUGGGCCCGCGUUGGAUUAGCUAGUUGGUAGGGUAAAAGCCUACCAAGGCGACGAUCCAUAGCUGGUCUGAGAGGAUGAUCAGCCACACUGGGAAUGAGACACGGCCCAGACUCCUACGGGAGGCAGCAGUGGGGAAUAGUGGACAAUGGGCGAAAGCCUGAUCCAGCAAUGCCGCGUGAGUGAUGAAGGCCUUAGGGUUGUAAAGCUCUUUUACCCGGGAUGAUAAUGACAGUACCGGGAGAAUAAGCGCCGGCUAACUCCGUG